rnacentral:rRNA from 1 species
AUAGCGUAUAUUUAAGUUGUUGCAGUUAAAAAGCUCGUAGUUGGAUUUCGGGCGGGGCCUGCCGGUCCGCCUUUGGUGUGCACUGGCAUGGGCUCGCCUCGCUGGCGGGGACGGGCUCCUGGGCUUAACUGUCCGGGACUCGGAGUCGCCGAGGUUACUUUGAGUAAAUUAGAGUGUUCAAAGCAGGCCUACGCUCUGAAUACGUUAGCAUGGAAUAACACGAUAGGACUCUGGCCUAUCUUGUUGGUCUGUGGGACCGGAGUAAUGAUUAAGAGGGACGGUCGGGGGCAUUCGUAUUUCAUUGUCAGAGGUGAAAUUCUUGGAUUUAUGAAAGACGAACUUCUG